rnacentral:rRNA from 1 species
UGGAGAGUUUGAUCCUGGCUCAGGACGAACGCUGGCGGCGUGCUUAACACAUGCAAGUCGAACGAUGAAGCCUUUCGGGGUGGAUUAGUGGCGAACGGGUGAGUAACACGUGGGCAAUCUGCCCUUCACUCUGGGACAAGCCCUGGAAACGGGGUCUAAUACCGGAUAAUACUUCUGCCUGCAUGGGUGGGGGUUGAAAGCUCCGGCGGUGAAGGAUGAGCCCGCGGCCUAUCAGCUUGUUGGUGGGGUAAUGGCCUACCAAGGCGACGACGGGUAGCCGGCCUGAGAGGGCGACCGGCCACACUGGGACUGAGACACGGCCCAGACUCCUACGGGAGGCAGCAGUGGGGAAUAUUGCACAAUGGGCGAAAGCCUGAUGCAGCGACGCCGCGUGAGGGAUGACGGCCUUCGGGUUGUAAACCUCUUUCAGCAGGGAAGAAGCGCAAGUGACGGUACCUGCAGAAGAAGCGCCGGCUAACUACGUGCCAGCAGCCGCGGUA